GGGGGAAUUAUCGGGAUGAGAUGGGCUGCAGCUCAACUAUUCGCGAGUGUACGAUAGGGUGGUUUUACUUUCAUUUUCACUUCUUUUGAAAAGUUUGAACUUUGGAAUUCGACAAUGCAUACUUCUGGCGCGUUACGUUAAGGCGUCAAUAUGGAAGGGUCUUGAUAUAUAUAUAUUUUUCGUUUUUGGUGAAUUUUUUUUUUAUACGUGCAAGCCAUUAUUCGAGAAGUGGCUUCCACUCCCUCCAACCUUGUCGUAUGUCUUUUUUCUUUAUAUUGUCCAUGAAAAGGAUGUAAAAUAGAAGAUCUCCACUUCCACUAUAUAAAUAUACGUUCAUUCAAG
rnacentral:sRNA from 1 species